rfam:Acetohalobium arabaticum DSM 5501, complete genome.
GUCACCUUCUCCCCAUUAAAAUGGGAAGCUUGGGAAAAUCAUUUUAGUGUAAGGUGUCCAGGGUAAGUUAGUUAUCUAGCUACGUUAUGGUAGUUACGAUACCUUAAAGUGCCUCCCUAGCUUUAAGCUCUAUCGCCUAGCAUUAAAUAACUCAAUGGGAGUACAAUAGAGUAGUGUGUUAAGCGUAAAAGCUACCAUAACUUACCCGAAGGGAGCGUAGA